rnacentral:rRNA from 1 species
UACGAAGGGGGCUAGCGUUGCUCGGAAUCACUGGGCGUAAAGGGUGCGUAGGCGGGUCUUUAAGUCAGGGGUGAAAUCCUGGAGCUCAACUCCAGAACUGCCUUUGAUACUGAGGAUCUUGAGUUCGGGAGAGGUGAGUGGAACUGCGAGUGUAGAGGUGAAAUUCGUAGAUAUCAGGAGGAACACCGGUGGUGUAGACGGCUCUCUGGACCGUAACUGACGCUGAGGCACGAAAGCGUGGGUAGCAAACAGG